rfam:Rhizobium tibeticum isolate CCBAT85039 genome assembly, contig: CCBAT85039_contig1
CACUCAUCGAACGGCGAUCUCCUCCUCCCAAAGCCGUUGGAUAUGGAUCGGCAACACUCCUCCUCCCAGUUGUCGAUCAAGUUUAUAAAGCCCGACGGAUCUCCUCCCCCGUCGGGCUUUUCAU